UGGGAAUUGGAUCACUCUAUAUUCAUCCAGACUGGCCUGGACUGGUGAGCACAUCUCACUAAUCAUCUUUUCCUUCUUUGGUGUUAUCAGGAUGCAUCUCCUCACCCUUAUAUCUCUUCAUCCUAAGUAAUUUCAGAGGAGGAGACAAGGAACAAGAAAGGGAUGAAAGUUGGAUGAAAUGUUGUAGAGGAAAUCCAAAAACUAACAAACAAAUCACGUCAGGGAAUUACUCCAACCUAUGAAGUGACCCAUCUGUGUUCAGGGAUGAGAAGAAAAUUUUGGCACUCCAUAUUUCCAAGAGCAAAAAUAUUA